rnacentral:sRNA from 1 species
UUAGGAGAAUAUCGUACAAAUACGUGGGAGGCGCUCGAAGGCUGUCGCUGACUCGAAAGGGUCGUGCACGCCAGAGGGUGUCCUCUCACGUGAAAUCCAUCUCACCCUUUUGUGCACCACCGCGUGGGCUCCCUUCCCUCCUCGAAGGGGGCUCACGUUUUCACACAAACACCCUUUGUAAACGUGUAUAGAAUGACCCCAAUUUUUGCGUUGACACGCGAUCAAUACAACUUUCAACAACGGAUCUCUUGGCUCUCGCAUCGAUGAAGAACGCAGCGAAAUGCGAUACGUAAUGUGAAUUGCAGAAUUCAGUGAAUCAUCGAAUCUUUGAACGCACCUUGCGCCCCUUGGUAUUCCGAGGGGCACACCCGUUUGAGUGUCGUGAAAUCCUCAACCUCCUCGGUUUCUUCUGGAUGCCAAAGGAGGCUUGGACUUUGGAGGGCUUUGCUGGACCGAAAGGGCCAGCUCCUCUCAAAUGAAUUAGCGAGGUCCCCUUUGCCGAUCCUCGACGUGUGAUAAGAUGCUUCCACGCCUUGGUCUUUGGCUCUGUCGCCUCUUGGGACCUGCUUCGAAUCGUCUCUCGACGAGACAACGUUCGAGCACGUCUCGACCACGUACCCUUGACCUCAAAUCGGGUGAGACUACCCGCUGAACUUAAGCAUAUC